GUGCUCACUUCAGCAGCACAUAUACUAAAAUUGAAAUGAUACACAAAGAUUAGCAUGGCCCCUGCACAAGGAUGAUAUGCAAAUUUGGAAAGUAUUCCUUAUUUAA
ensembl:snRNA U6 U6 spliceosomal RNA